rnacentral:lncRNA from 1 species
AAUUUUCUUGAAUACUCUCUUUCUAUGUAAACAUUAUGCAAUAUAUUAUAGAAUAAAGCCUAUCGUUUGUAAGUUCUUUGUCUUCUUUAUUUGUCUUCUUUAUUUCCCCUCUUAACAUCCUUCAAAUGGUAUUAGAUCCAUGUAAAUGGCAUCAGUUCCAGGAUCUCCUACUUAUGUAUUUAUGCUAAAUCUUAUAAAUAAUGUUUAGUUAUGUCUUAUGUUUGUGUUUCAUGGGCCGUGUCCCUAAUAUAUUCUAAUGUUUUUGAGUAUAAAAUGGCAAAGUGACCUAUGAUCUAAAUAUGUAUUCUGACUUAUGUUGAGUAUGUGAAUUUUCCUAUGCAUUGCACAUGUGUACCUUGAUAGGAUAAUUCUGUUUUGGGUUUCUAUACGUAUGUAUAUGAAUGUUUGAAUAUGUGUUACUUAAUGGGUUAUGUAAAAGGUUUGCUCACAUAUAUGUAUACACAGACAUGUAUGGUAGGCAGGUAGGUAACCAUAAACCUCAUGGGGUUGAUAGCCUCAUGACCCAAAAGGGUGCUAGACUCUUAUUUCAAUAAGUGAAUAACUAGAAUGCCUAAUCAUGGCAUAAAUAGGAUUUUCAAAUAUAUCCGCAAGUAACAUAACUAUUUUUUCACUAUAUGAUAUUAGCUAGGGGAUCUACCUAAAAAGUUAUAUCAUGUUUGGUUCUACAUUGGCCGGUAGUCCACCCUUUUUCGGUGUGGGAUUUUAUGGCACACUAUUCCAUUUUUAGCAUCACAUGGUCUAUGUUAGUUAAGGCUAUAGUUUCCCUUAAAUAAUAAGGAAAAUGGAAGUAAAUGAGUAGGACACUAACUAGAAUGACUUAAAGGAGGUUACUUAGGAUAGGUGGAAGGAACAAACCCAUCUAGACAUUGCAGAAAGAGCUCCCUAAGAAGUUCUAGGAAGGUUUUCUAAUGCUUGUACCUUUAAAGGUGUUCUUUAAGCAUGACAUUGUACUGUUUCUCUACUUGUUAUGAAGAUGUACAUCGUAUGAAUCUUUAUAAAUCAUAUUGAUCUUGUUGACUAUAUGAUGAAGGUCUUGCUUGAAAUAAACAAAGUGGUAUCUUCGUACGAUUUGGAUAUAUGACAUGAAUAUAAAGACUUAUGGUCUCAUUAUAGGUUUAGUAUGUAUGUGUGAGGUUAUGGGGCCUUACAUGUAUAUUGUACUAGUAGACUUAGAUUGGGGGCAUGAGUUAGGUCUAUAAGGUUCUAUGUGAUGUAAAAUAAGUUUUUGUGAAUAAUGAUUAGGAUUUCACUGUAAUGUCCUUAUAGUCUUGACUUAACAAUGUCUAUGUUAUACCAUAUUACAAUAAUGUUAUGUUUUCUCUUGUGUAGAUGAUAUGUAUGUUUCCAUGUGGCCUUAUGGUGAUUUGUUCCACCAAGUAUACGUAAGGGGUUACUUGGAAAGUUAAUGAACAAAAGAGAAGAUGCUUCCCUGUUAAGGGAAAAAGAGCUUAUUAUAAUGUGCCUUAAAAAUG